ACUUCCGGUUACCUGUAUGCGCACCUGUUUGGUGACAAAUGUAGUGCGCGGUUUGAUCGAGUAUUACAAACAUAAAUUAAACGGCUUUGUAUCUUUUUAUGCAAUUUUGCUGUUGGGGAUAAGUCGGCCAAUUAGAAUAUUUCUUCAAACCUUGUCUUACCUCCUCAUCAGAAAGAAUAUCAAAGACUGGUUUGUUUUGGUAGCUGGGCCUCCAGUUCCCCGGACUCGAUUAGUUCCUUCACAAUGUCCACCCCUCCUAUCAGCUCUCCAUUUGCGUAAAGUUGUGGAUAUGUGGGCCAGUUGGAAUAUGUCUUCAAUCCUUAUAAAACAUCCGAGACUAUUUACUCAUACCAUUUACAAUUCUACAACUUUUUUUGUGUAUCUCUGAGGAGAUGGCAACAUGAUUUCCUAUGCUCAUUUGAAUAGCAAAGAAGUAUUUUGUGCUAACCUUGUCUGACUUCUUCAUCUUGCAGGAUAUCAAAAGAACUGAACUUGAUUCCUCUUUCUUUCAGUAGCUGUGUGAUUUGCCGACUGAAACCUGUACAAUUUAAAAUAAAAGCAAUUUUUUUACAACCCU
rnacentral:sRNA from 1 species